rnacentral:tRNA from 1 species
GCCUUCGUGGUGUAAUGGUCAGCACACUGAGCCGGUAUUUCAAAGAUCCGUGGUUCGAUUCCCGGCGAAGGCG